UACGUAGGUGGCGAGCGUUGUCCGGAUUUAUUGGGCGUAAAGCGCGCGCAGGCGGUGCGGUAAGUCCGUCGUGAAAUCUCCCGGCUCAACUGGGAGGGUGCGGUGGAGACUGCCGGACUGGAGGCACUCAGAGGCCGGUGGAAUUCCCGGUGUAGUGGUGAAAUGCGUAGAGAUCGGGAGGAACACCAGUGGCGAAGGCGGCCGGCUGGGGGUGACCUGACGCUGAGGCGCGACAGCAUGGGGAGCAAACGGG
rnacentral:rRNA from 1 species